CCUGGGCUAGGUGCUGCAAAGUCCUAUAGCGACUGCCAUUGAGAAGUGAAGCCGGCUAGGCUUCUGGGUCAGGUGAGGACCUGAAGAACGUUUCUGUCUAGCUGAAGGUUUGUAAACGCACCAAUCAGUGCUUUGUCAAAACGGACCCAUCAGCUCUCUGUAAAACGGACCAAUCAGCUCUCUGUAAAAUGGACCAAUCAGCUCUCUAUAAAAUGGACCAAGCAGUAGGAUGUGGGUGGGGCCAGAUAAGGGAACGAAAGCAGGCCUCCCAAGCCAGGAGCGGCAAACUGCUGGGAUCCAUUUCCAUGCUGUGGACUCUUUGUGCUUUGCUCUUUGCAGUAAAUCUUGCUGCUGCUCACUUUUUGGGUCUGCACCACCUUUAUGAGCUGUAACACUCACCGCGAAGGUCUGCAGCUUUACACCUGAAGCCAGGGAGACCACGAACUCAUCAGGAGGAACGAACAACUCCAGACGCGCGGCCUUUAAGAGCUGUAACACUCAACGCGAAGGUCUGCAGCUUCACUCUUGAAGUCAGCGAAACCGCAAACCCACCAGAAGGAAGAAACUCCGGACACAUCUGAACACCUGAAGGAACAAACCCCGGACACACCAUCUCUAAGAACUGUAACACUCACCGCCAGGGUCCGCGGCUUCAUUCUUGAAUCAGUGAGACCAAGAACCCACCAAUUCCAGACACAGAAGUAUCUUGGCUUUCUCUUUUCCAGAGAAAGAGUGUGUUUUAUCCUGCAGCACGUCAGCUUCAAAGGGCUCUUACUUCAAGUGUCCAGCGCAUCAUUCUGGUAAAUUAAGAAAUCCUCGGCUUAAGAUCGUCUCUUUCAAUCACAUAUAAUGUGGGUAACUUCAUGACUAAACAUUAUA
rnacentral:lncRNA from 1 species